rnacentral:rRNA from 1 species
GAUGAACGCUGGCGGCGUGCCUAAUACAUGCAAGUCGAGCGAAUGGAUUAAGAGCUUGCUCUUAUGAAGUUAGCGGCGGACGGGUGAGUAACACGUGGGUAACCUGCCCAUAAGACUGGGAUAACUCCGGGAAACCGGGGCUAAUACCGGAUAACAUUUUGAACCGCAUGGCUCGAAAUUGAAAGGCGGCUUCGGCUUUCACUUAUGGAUGGACCCGCGUCGCAUUAGCUAGUUGGUGAGGUAACGGCUCACCAAGGCAACGAUGCGUAGCCGACCUGAGAGGGUGAUCGGCCACACUGGGACUGAGACACGGCCCAGACUCCUACGGGAGGCAGCAGUAGGGAAUCUUCCGCAAUGGACGAAAGUCUGACGGAGCAACGCCGCGUGAGUGAUGAAGGCUUUCGGGUCGUAAAACUCUGUUGUUAGGGAAGAACAAGUGCUAGUUGAAUAAGCUGGCACCUUGACGGUACCUAACCAGAAAGCCACGGCUAACUACGUGCCAGCCGCCGCUGUAA